rnacentral:rRNA from 1 species
UACGGGGGGGGGCAAGCGUUGUUCGGAAUUACUGGGCGUAAAGGGCUCGUAGGCGGCCAAACUAAGUCAGACGUGAAAUCCCUCGGCUUAACCGGGGAACUGCGUCUGAUACUGGAUGGCUUGAGAUUGGGAGAGGGAUGCGGAAUUCCAGGUGUAGCGGUGAAAUGCGUAGAUAUCUGGAGGAACACCGGUGGCGAAGGCGGCAUCCUGGACCAACACUGACGCUGAGGAGCGAAAGCCAGGGGAGCAAACGGG